AAGCCGUUGUUGGUCAAUGCUACACCAACAAGGUAGAAAUAAUCCUGCGGAGUAAAAUAUGAGCGAUAAAAUAAUUCACCUGACUGAU
rnacentral:sRNA from 18 species